rnacentral:rRNA from 1 species
UACGUAGGGGGCAAGCGUUGUCCGGAAUCAUUGGGCGUAAAGCGCGCGCAGGCGGUCCUUUAAGUCUGAUGUGAAAGCCCACGGCUCAACCGUGGAGGGUCAUUGGAAACUGGGGGACUUGAGUGCAGAAGAGGAAAGCGGAAUUCCACGUGUAGCGGUGAAAUGCGUAGAGAUGUGGAGGAACACCAGUGGCGAAGGCGGCUUUCUGGUCUGUAACUGACGCUGAGGCGCGAAAGCGUGGGGAGCAAACAGG